GUAGCGCAGUGGAUAGCGCGUUGGACUUCUAUUCCAAAGGUCGAGGGUUCGAAUCCCACACA
rnacentral:tRNA from 1 species